rnacentral:rRNA from 1 species
GAACGCCCCGCAAGGGGAGUGGCAGACGGGUGAGUAACGCGUGGGAACAUACCCUUCGGUUCGGAAUAGCUCAGGGAAACUUGAAUUAAUACCGGAUACGUCCGCAAGGAGAAAGAUUUAUCGCCGAAGGAUUGGCCCGCGUCUGAUUAGCUAGUUGGUGGGGUAACGGCCCACCAAGGCGACGAUCAGUAGCUGGUCUGAGAGGAUGAUCAGCCACAUUGGGACUGAGACACGGCCCAAACUCCUACGGGAGGCAGCAGUGGGGAAUAUUGGACAAUGGGCGCAAGCCUGAUCCAGCCAUGCCGCGUGAGUGAUGAAGGCCCUAGGGUUGUAAAGCUCUUUCGCACGCGAGGAUGAUGACGCUAGCGUGAGAAGAAGCCCCGGCUAACUUCGUGCCAGCAGCCGCGGUAAUACGAAGGGGGCGAGCGUUGUUCGGAUUUACUGGGCGUAAAGGGCGCG